CGGCGUGCUUAACACAUGCAAGUCGAACGGAAAGGCCCUGCUUUUGUGGGGUGCUCGAGUGGCGAACGGGUGAGUAACACGUGAGUAACCUGCCCUUGACUUUGGGAUAACUUCAGGAAACUGGGGCUAAUACCGGAUAGGAGCUCCUGCUGCAUGGUGGGGGUUGGAAAGUUUCGGCGGUUGGGGAUGGACUCGCGGCUUAUCAGCUUGUUGGUGGGGUAGUGGCUUACCAAGGCUUUGACGGGUAGCCGGCCUGAGAGGGUGACCGGCCACAUUGGGACUGAGAUACGGCCCAGACUCCUACGGGAGGCAGCAGUGGGGAAUAUUGCACAAUGGGCGGAAGCCUGAUGCAGCAACGCCGCGUGCGGGAUGACGGCCUUCGGGUUGUAAACCGCUUUCGCCUGUGACGAAGCGUGAGUGACGGUAAUGGGUAAAGAAGCACCGGCUAACUACGUGCCAGCAGCCGCGGUGAUACGUAGGGUGCGAGCGUUGUCCGGAUUUAUUGGGCGUAAAGGGCUCGUAGGUGGUUGAUCGCGUCGGAAGUGUAAUCUUGGGGCUUAACCCUGAGCGUGCUUUCGAUACGGGUUGACUUGAGGAAGGUAGGGGAGAAUGGAAUUCCUGGUGGAGCGGUGGAAUGCGCAGAUAUCAGGAGGAACACCAGUGGCGAAGGCGGUUCUCUGGGCCUUUCCUGACGCUGAGGAGCGAAAGCGUGGGGAGCGAACAGGCUUAGAUACCCUGGUAGUCCACGCUGUAAACGGUGGGUACUAGGUGUGGGGUCCAUUCCACGGGUUCCGUGCCGUAGCUAACGCUUUAAGUACCCCGCCUGGGGAGUACGGCCGCAAGGCUAAAAUUCAAAGGAAUUGACGGGGCCCCGCACAAGCGGCGGAGCAUGCGGAUUAAUUCGAUGCAACGCGUAGAACCUUACCUGGGUUUGACAUGGAUCGGGAGUGCUCAGAGAUGGGUGUGCCUCUUUUGGGGUCGGUUCACAGGUGGUGCAUGGCUGUCGUCAGCUCGUGUCGUGAGAUGUUGGGUUAAGUCCCGCAACGAGCGCAACCCUUGUUCACUGUUGCCAGCACGUUAUGGUGGGGACUCAGUGGAGACCGCCGGGGUCAACUCGGAGGAAGGUGGGGAUGACGUCAAGUCAUCAUGCCCCUUAUGUCCAGGGCUUCACGCAUGCUACAAUGGCUGGUACAGAGAGUGGCGAGCCUGUGAGGGUGAGCGAAUCUCGGAAAGCCGGUCUCAGUUCGGAUUGGGGUCUGCAACUCGACCUCAUGAAGUCGGAGUCGCUAGUAAUCGCAGAUCAGCAACGCUGCGGUGAAUACGUUCCCGGGGCUUGUACACACCGCCCGUCAAGUCAUGAAAGUUGGUAACACCCGAAGCCGGUGGCCUAACCGUUGUGGGGGAGCCGUCGAAGGUGGGACUGGUGAUUAGGACCAAGUC
rnacentral:rRNA from 1 species